rnacentral:lncRNA from 1 species
CACAUUCUAACUUGUUUACUGGUUAAUAUGUCAUAAGGCACAGAACUCGUGGACUAAGCUUGCUGUGGAGAUCGACAGUCCACAAGCUACGUCUCUGGAUCAGUUAGCCGAUCCACCCAAUAGUACCUGUGCGCAAGUAAUCCACUCAAAGUCAGAGAUAUGUAGCAACAGAUGGCUACCAGAUAAGAGCAACAGAAACUGCAAGAAGCCAAAAAACACUAAUGGUAUGUCAUGCUCAACCGAUGUGCAUUAUGCAAUUUUACAAAAUAAAUAAACUUGCUGGCCAUUUUAUCUAUUAAGAUUGAUGGUUGAUUUCAGAUGACUUUAAGGGAAAGGACCUGGAGAUAGGUGGCCCUGAAAAUUUAUAUAUGGGUCACCAAUCUUCCCCAAAUGGGAGAUCCAUCAAAGCAGCAGAUCAUGAAAACAAUUCAAAGGAAUCAAUGAUGGAAAAUUUAGAGGAGCCAACUGUUCGAGCUGCUGACCUAAUUGGUUCAAUGGCCAAAAACAUGGAUACCCCACAGGCAGCAAGAGCUGCAGAAGAUACCCCUAAUUUCUCUUCCAAAGUGCCAGAAGGGAAAGGUAAGAAUAACCAGAAUGAUAAGUAUGUUUUGCCAUCACUUGAGCUGAGUUUGAAGAGGUCGAGAUCAUGUGGAGAUGGUGCCAACAACAAAAAUACAGUCAAAGACGACGAACAACGGAAUUGUGUAUUAAGACGAUCAAAUCUGUCGGCUUUUACAAGGUGCAAAACAUAAUAUCAGUGUCAUUAGUGAGUUAUGAGAGCAACAGUAUGUUACGUACUAACAGUUACCACUUUUAUUGCAAGGUACCACACAUCUGCGGCUUCCAAUCAAGGUGGGACAGGAUUGGUAGGUAGCUGUUCGCCGCAUGAUAACAGCUCGGAGGCUGUGAAAACGGAUUCUACCUACAACAUGAAGUCAAAUUCAGAUGCUGCCCCGAUAAAACAAGGCUCCAACGGCAGUAGCAAUGACAAUGACAUGGGUUCCACUACAAAGGAUGUUGUGACAAAACCCAUGUUGCCCUCUGCUAUUAAGGCUAAUGGAUACACAUCAGCGUUCCAUCCUGUGCAGCAGUGGAUGGUUCCAGCUAAUGCAACAGCAGGGAAAACGAAGGCUGAUGAAAAUACAGCCAGAAAUCACUGCGUCCAUUUUGAGAAUGGUGGGUCAGGAGCCCUGCAAUGUGGUUCCUCCAACGUAUUUGAUCCCCCACUUGAAGGCCAAGCUACAAAUAACUAUGGUGGUGUGAAAGCCGGGAGCAACUCAGGCAGCAACAAGGGGCAGAACAAUGGGAGUACGGCUGCUGCAAAUGCUGGACUGGCAGAAACGGAGAUACAGGCCAUGGACAAAAGUGGAGUUGGAGGUGGCAAUGGCAAUGGCAAUGGGAGUGGCAGUGGCAGUGGCAAUGACACAUAUGUCAGACGGCUUGCUGCGAACAUGACACCGCGACAAGCACAGCUAAAGAAAUAUAGAGAGAAAAAGAAAGACCGGAACUUUGGGAAGAAGGUAGCCUGUUUGCAAUUGCAUCUUAAUUUUUCUUCUUUAUUUGUUUUCAGUUACAUAUAUGUUUAAGAAGAAGUGAGAGCAUUGGAUAGGAGGACUGGUUUCUUUCUGAUGGCCGUCUGCCAUUUUCAGGUGCGGUACCAGAGCAGAAAGAGGCUAGCCGACCAGCGGCCACGGGUUCGUGGACAGUUCGUCAAGCAAGCUGUGCAAAAUCAGGACGGAGCUAGAGAGAGAUGACCGACACCCCCCCCCCCUCCCCUGUGGCUGUGCUGCUCUCUGGCUUCAGCUCCCUACUGACUCCGACUCCACCUCUGCUGGCAUGCAUGGUUGCCGCUUUGGACUCAAAACACUUGACAGUUAGACGUGCGGUUGAUGAUUCUUCCUUCUCUCGUGGUGUGGACUGAUAUGGUCAACAACACAGCCUCCUUCCUUUUCAUCAUUGGUUUCUUCACAUCUAGAAUCUACUGCCUGACCGGGAAAGAAUAAACAAGGAACUUCUUCUUCUAUACAUGUGUAUGUAUGUAUGCAUUCCUAAGCAUGUAAUGUAGAAGAAUAAGUGCGUGGCUUGACUCUAGAUGGACUUUAAUUUUAGACAGAGUCUUGCUCGCUCUCCUACAUCAUCUAGUGUAACUAAAGUGUUGUCAUGUAUGGUCUUGGAUCACUGUCUAUCAAUAUAUUAUAUCGUGGCGUUCCUUGAUAAGUCUGCAGGCAGAAGCAUGACAAAAAUUCAGGGAGGGCCAAGAAACCAUAUGACAAAAUCAACCAACACCGUAAAAUAACUAUUGUCAUAUAGAAUUCAAGUUUUAUAUCAAUACAUGAUACAAGUUCAAAGAAGUAAAUCAUACAAAUAAAAAAGAAACAUACCGUUAAGUUUUUGUUGACCUCACAAUUGUCUCUUAGUUUUGAGACGUUGAAAUCGUCGAAUAAUGAGUUCAUCAUCAAUGAAUUUGAAGAUCGUCGAAUAAUGAGUUCAUCAUCAAUGAAUUUGAAGAUCUCUUUCUCAGUGAAGCAAACCAUUAAAUCAUUCAACCAAUCAUCUUCAAUCUUGUUAUGCAAUUCUCUCUUAAUUAUAUUAAUAGCUAAAAAUGUUCUCUCAACACAUGCCGUUGACACAAGUAAUAAUAGAGCCAACUCAAUUAGCUUGUAGAAGAGUAUUAAUAAUCAUCAACAGACCAACUACUUAUGAACUUACCUAAUCCAGUUCAGUUAUGCAAAAUUGCAAAUCUAGCACAGGCGUACAACUUGUCUGCUUGGUUAGUGCUUACCUUCCUGAAGAUCUGGACUGCUUGUUGAUGAGAGCAGUGAUAGGGAGCAGCGGCGCCUGAGGAAAGGGUGCGCGCCUACGCUGCGCCGAUCAGAAGACAGAAGGAAGAUGGUUGGACGUUGGGGCCGCAGGGGCAUGGGCAACGUUGCGCCGGGCUAGGACAGGGGCAGUCACACGAGUCGCCGGCGCCGCCGUGCCUGGGCUGGGGUUCCACGCCUGGACCUCGACGGGCACAAGGCCACACCAAACGCCACAUCACACGGGAAGAACGA